rnacentral:rRNA from 1 species
UCUGGUCUUGGGACACUGUCAGGUGGGCGGUGUGCCUGGUGCGGUCGCCACCCAAAGGGGAGCGGAGGCGCUCAAAGGGUCUCGCAGUACGGUAGGAAAGCGUACGUAGAGUGUAAAGGCAAAAGAGAGCUUGAUUGCAAGACAUACAGGGCGAGCAAGGAUGAAAAUCGGACUUAGUGAUCCGGUGGUUCUGCGUGGAAGGGCCAUCGCUCAACGGAUAAAAGCUACCCUGGGGAUAACAGGCUUAUCUCCCCCAAGAGUCCACAUCGACGGGGAGGUUUGGCACCUCGAUGUCGGCUCAUCACAUCCUGGGGCUG